AAAUUGAAGAGUUUGAUCAUGGCUCAGAUUGAACGCUGGCGGCAGGCCUAACACAUGCAAGUCGAACGGUAGCACAGAGAGCUUGCUCUCGGGUGACGAGUGGCGGACGGGUGAGUAAUGUCUGGGAAACUGCCUGAUGGAGGGGGAUAACUACUGGAAACGGUAGCUAAUACCGCAUAAUGUCGCAAGACCAAAGAGGGGGACCUUCGGGCCUCUUGCCAUCAGAUGUGCCCAGAUGGGAUUAGCUAGUAGGUGGGGUAAUGGCUCACCUAGGCGACGAUCCCUAGCUGGUCUGAGAGGAUGACCAGCCACACUGGAACUGAGACACGGUCCAGACUCCUACGGGAGGCAGCAGUGGGGAAUAUUGCACAAUGGGCGCAAGCCUGAUGCAGCCAUGCCGCGUGUAUGAAGAAGGCCUUCGGGUUGUAAAGUACUUUCAGCGGGGAGGAAGGUGUUGCGGUUAAUAACCGCAGCAAUUGACGUUACCCGCAGAAGAAGCACCGGCUAACUCCGUGCCAGCAGCCGCGGUAAUACGGAGGGUGCAAGCGUUAAUCGGAAUUACUGGGCGUAAAGCGCACGCAGGCGGUCUGUCAAGUCGGAUGUGAAAUCCCCGGGCUCAACCUGGGAACUGCAUUCGAAACUGGCAGGCUAGAGUCUUGUAGAGGGGGGUAGAAUUCCAGGUGUAGCGGUGAAAUGCGUAGAGAUCUGGAGGAAUACCGGUGGCGAAGGCGGCCCCCUGGACAAAGACUGACGCUCAGGUGCGAAAGCGUGGGGAGCAAACAGGAUUAGAUACCCUGGUAGUCCACGCCGUAAACGAUGUCGACUUGGAGGUUGUUCCCUUGAGGAGUGGCUUCCGGAGCUAACGCGUUAAGUCGACCGCCUGGGGAGUACGGCCGCAAGGUUAAAACUCAAAUGAAUUGACGGGGGCCCGCACAAGCGGUGGAGCAUGUGGUUUAAUUCGAUGCAACGCGAAGAACCUUACCUACUCUUGACAUCCAGAGAACUUAGCAGAGAUGCUUUGGUGCCUUCGGGAACUCUGAGACAGGUGCUGCAUGGCUGUCGUCAGCUCGUGUUGUGAAAUGUUGGGUUAAGUCCCGCAACGAGCGCAACCCUUAUCCUUUGUUGCCAGCGGCUAGGCCGGGAACUCAAAGGAGACUGCCAGUGAUAAACUGGAGGAAGGUGGGGAUGACGUCAAGUCAUCAUGGCCCUUACGAGUAGGGCUACACACGUGCUACAAUGGCGCAUACAAAGAGAAGCGACCUCGCGAGAGCAAGCGGACCUCAUAAAGUGCGUCGUAGUCCGGAUUGGAGUCUGCAACUCGACUCCAUGAAGUCGGAAUCGCUAGUAAUCGUAGAUCAGAAUGCUACGGUGAAUACGUUCCCGGGCCUUGUACACACCGCCCGUCACACCAUGGGAGUGGGUUGCAAAAGAAGUAGGUAGCUUAACCUUCGGGAGGGCGCUUACCACUUUGUGAUUCAUGACUGGGGUGAAGUCGUAACAAGGUAACCGUAGGGGAACCUGCGGUUGGAUCACCUCCUUA
rnacentral:rRNA from 1 species